AUUGAACGCUGGCGGCAGGCCUAACACAUGCAAGUCGAGCGGAGCGGCCGACGGGUGGAUAAUGCCUAGGUAUCUGCCUAGUAGUGGGGGAUAACGGCCGGACACGUGCGCUAGUCUCGCAUUCUCUCCGCUGAGUCUAGGUCGGAUUAGCUAGUUGGUGGGGUAAAGGCCUACCAAGGCGACGAUCCGUAACUGGUCUGAGAGGAUGAUCAGUCACACUGGAACUGAGACACGGUCCAGACUCCUACGGGAGGCAGCAGUGGGGAAUAUUGGACAAUGGGCGAAAGCCUGAUCCAGCCAUGCCGCGUGUGUGAAGAAGGUCUUCGGAUUGUAAAGCACUUUAAGUUGGGAGGCGUUACCAACAGAAUAAGCACCGGCUAACUCCGUGCCAGCAGCCGCGGUAAUUC
rnacentral:rRNA from 1 species